rnacentral:rRNA from 1 species
GACAGAGGGUGCAAACGUUGUUCGGAUUUACUGGGCGUAAAGAGCGUGUAGGCGCCAGACAGGUCCGUUGUGAAAACUCGAGGCUCAACCUCGAGACGUCGAUGGAAACCGUCUGGCUAGAGUCCGGAAGAGGAGUGUGGAAUUCCUGGUGUAGCGGUGAAAUGCGCAGAUAUCAGGAAGAACACCUAUGGCGAAGGCAGCACUCUGGGACGGUACUGACGCUGAGACGCGAAAGCGUGGGGAGCGAACAGG